ensembl:lncRNA
UUACGGGUGAGCAGCGGCCUUUUCUCUCUCUUGCUCUCUCACCACUCAGCUCACAGUUCUGUCUAACCAUUGACAGGACAGCACCCAUGACUCAACUAACCGGGCUAGUGCAUGGAUUUGGACUGUGCUAUUUGUUAACACUGCCUCUAAUAUUUUCACAUGGCGAGGCGCUGCAGUGCUACGGCUGUAACAUCCUCCAGGGCCAGAAGUACGUGGACGUGGGCUGCUCCAGCCCAGAGGUCAUCACUUGCUCCCACUCCCACAAAGGCUUCAAGCACCGCUUCUGCAUUAGGACUGAGAGCAGUGAGUACACUCCUCCUCACCCUCUCCCCCUUGACCUCUCCCUCACUUAUAUGGUCUACCCCACGGUCAUUCACUAUCACGUGUUCAUUUAGAAUACACCCUACAUGCAUAGAGUUCCAGACCUGGGUUAAAAUAGUAGAAUAAUUACAUUCUAUAGCUCUCCUCUGUCAUGACAUCUUCGUUUUUUAACGUUUUUAUUUGACCUUUAUUUAACCAGGUAGGCCAGUCGAGAGCAAGUUCUCAUUUACAACUGCGACAUGGCCAAGAUAGAGCAAAGCAGUGCGACACAAACAACACAGAGUUACACAUGGGAUAAACAAACGUACAGUCAAUAACACAAUAGAAAAGUCUAUAUACAGUGUGUGCAAAUGUUGUAAGAUUAGGGAGGUAAGGCAAUAAAUAGGCCAUAGUGGCAAAAUAAUUACAAUCUGGGUCAAGGAAUCUUAAUCUGGGUAAAGGAAUCUUAAUCUGAAUCAAGCUGUCUUAAUCGGUGUCAAAUAAUCUCAAUCUGGGUCAAGGAACUUAAUCUGGGUCAAGGAAUCUUAAUCUGGGUCAAGGAAUCUUAUUCUGGGUCAAGAAAUCUUAAUCUGGGUCAAUGACAAUAACAUAGACCAUGAUAACAAGAUUGCAGUGACACAGAAAUCCCCCAUCUGAUUGAGAUUUUUCCAGGGAGACCUGGGGUCAUGGAUAAGUAAGGGGCUGUGAUAUGAUAAAUCCUGGACUGUGUUAAACAGGAAGCAUUGCUGGAGAGAUUAGAGGGGAUUGCUCCCUGAGUCCCAGGUCUAAUCCUGCACAGUAACUCUCUCAUCCCUGUCCUGGCAGCUGCUCUCUCAUAAUAUGUUUAUAGCAUCCCUCCCGUCUCCUUCUACCUAUCCACUAUCUCUCCUCCUCAGUGCCCAGUACUCAGUUCAGUGUGUCCCCUGCUUGUCUCAAAUACCUGUCUUUUUCAGUUACAGAAUCUCUCACUGUCUGUACAACUUUAUUAUGUGUAUGUAUGUGCAUGCGUGUUAUCACUGCAGGUGCCCUGGGCAUCGUGCUGACCAGUGGUUGUGCCACGUCUCGACACUGCCAACAACAGGAGCUACCUGGGGUGCUGAUCCAUUGCUGUGGCUCAGACCUCUGCAACAACACCCCCGACUGGAGCAGAACGACAUUACACUGGCUGUGCUCGGUUGCUACACUGCUGCUCAUACUCUGGCUGCAAUUGUGAGAGAGAGUCGCUGAGCAGAAUCACACUGACUAGGGCCCACUUCUGCCCUACUGGUCAAUCCUGUGGCUGUGUCCUGGAUCAGUGGUUUCCAACCAGGGGAACUAGGCGCCUGGGGGUACUUGGCUAUCCACAGGGUGUACUUGAGAAGACUCAUUAGACAGUAGGUCUACUGGUAAAAUGUACUUCAGAGGUACUCCAGAGCAGAGCAACAUUUGGUUGGUGGUACGGUAACCAAAAAGGGUUGGAAACCAUUGUCCUAGAGAAAAGCUAAGGCUAAAAUGAGAUUAUGAAGGUAGCUAGCCAAAUAAGGGUUUUUGUGGUGAAUAGGUGACAGUAAUGAUGUGGAUCAUAUGCU